UACGUAGGGUGCGAGCGUUGUCCGGAAUUAUUGGGCGUAAAGAGCUCGUAGGCGGUUUGUCACGUCGGAUGUGAAAUCCCGGGGCUUAACUCCGGGUCUGCAUUCGAUACGGGCUGACUAGAGUUCGGCAGGGGAGACUGGAAUUCCUGGUGUAGCGGUGAAAUGCGCAGAUAUCAGGAGGAACACCGGUGGCGAAGGCGGGUCUCUGGGCCGUAACUGACGCUGAGGAGCGAAAGCGUGGGGAGCGAACAGG
rnacentral:rRNA from 1 species